UUUGUUAGAUAUUUGUUAUUACCCAGCAGCCCCCCUGCCCCCGCCUCUUCCCUGUCAUCCUUACCGACGGAUGAAACAGAAAGUUCGUGGAUGAGGAGCGAGGUGUGUCGCACUACCAAAGUUCAGUCAAACUUCAUAGAUAUUAACAUUGAAUCAUAGUUAGGCUAAUUGAGUACAUUCUCUUAGGAACACUUUGCACGGUGUUACCUGCUAAUUUGUUACUACGCAACUGGAGGCCCUGCACGUGCACCGACGUCACUCUGUCCCGAGUGUAACAAAGUAACACCUCAGCUAGCUACCUGACGACACGCCAGUUUUCACGUGUGAUAGUUCAUGAGGGAUACGGCCUGAGGGAAGAAGCUGCUCGUAUGCCUCGAUGUUCUGGUGCUCAGAGCUCUGAAGCGCCGGCCGGAGGGCAGCAGGUCAAAGAGUUGGUGACCCGGCUGAGAGGGGCCUGUGAGGUUUUCCUGCCCUUUUCCUCAUUCUGGAGAAGUACAGGUCCUGGAGGGAGGGCAGGGGGGCACCGAUGAUCCUCUCUGCAGUCCUGACUGUCCGUUGCUGUCUCCUCAUGUCUGAUUUGGUCGCACAACCGAAACAGUGAGGGAUGAACACAGGACAGACUCAGUGACUGCAGAGUAGAACUGUUUCAGGAGCUCCUGUAGCAGGUUGAACUUCUUUAGCUGGUGAAGGAAGUACAAGUUCUAACUGGAGGAUCUUGUUGUGCAAUGCACUGAUGACAGCCCCCUUUUGAGUUACCAUGUGAUUACAUGAAUGUGAACUAAGUUAAAACAUGUUUGUUUGGUCUAACACUCAUAUCAAUGUGUUUGUUUGUUGCAGCAGUAAAAAUCAACCUACACUAUUUCUGGAGACCUGAAGUGGAGUUAAGCUGUGAGGUUUUCUGUGUGUAGAAAUUUGAAUUAAAAUCUUUGUUGCAUUAUUAUUUUGAAGUUUAAA